AUGGCUGACAAGCCCCCCGUCGUCGUCGUCGUCGUCGUCGUCUUCCUCCUCCUGCUGCUCGGCCUCGGCCUCGGCCUCUGCUCCUGCGCCAAUGUGCACAUUGUGUACAUGGGGGAGAGGCACCCGGAGCUGCACCCGGACCUGGUCCGGGACUCGCACCACGGCAUGCUCGCCGCCGUCCUCGGCAGCAAACAGGCGGCCGAGGACGCCAUCCUCUACAGCUACAGGCACGGCUUCUCCGGCUUCGCCGCCGUGCUCACCAACGCGCAGGCGGCGCAGCUCUCCGAUUGGCCUGGGGUCGUGCGGGUGGUUCGGAACCGGGUGCUUGACCUGCACACCACCAGGAGCUGGGACUUCAUGCGGGUGAACCCGUCGCCGUCCGGCGGGAGCGGAAUCCUCUCCCGCAGCAGGUUCGGGGAGGACUCCAUCAUCGGUGUGCUAGACACAGGGAUAUGGCCGGAGUCGGCCAGCUUUAGGGACGACGGCAUCGGCGAGGUUCCGCGGCGGUGGAAAGGGCAAUGCGUCGCCGGAGAAAGGUUCAAUGCUUCCAACUGCAACAGGAAAAUAAUAGGCGCGAAGUGGUUCGUCAAAGGGUACCAAGCCGAGUACGGGAAGAUGAACACGACUGACAUCCACGAGUACAUGUCGGCGAGGGACGCCGUCGGGCAUGGGACGCACACUGCAUCCACUGCUGCCGGCGCUCUAGUGCCCGACGCCAACUUCCGGGGGCUUGCCAGUGGUGUGGCGAGGGGAGGGGCGCCGAGGGCUAGGUUGGCUGUUUACAAGGUGUGCUGGGCUACUGGGGAUUGUACCUCUGCAGAUAUCCUUGCUGCCUUCGACGCUGCCAUACACGACGGUGUCGAUGUGCUCUCGGUGUCUCUCGGCCAAGCACCACCUCUCCCUGCUUAUGUUGAUGAUGUCCUGGCGAUUGGAUCCUUCCACGCCGUCGUGAGAGGGAUCACUGUGGUCUGUUCUGCAGGGAACUCCGGUCCUUAUUCAGAGACGGUGAUCAACUCUGCACCGUGGGUUCUAACCGUUGCUGCGGGCACCAUUGAUCGGACUUUCCUCGCAAAGAUCACCCUGGGCAACAAUAGUACUUAUGUGGGCCAAACAAUGUAUUCUGGGAAGCAUGCUGCGACAAGCAUGCGUAUAGUAUAUGCUGAAGAUGUUUCAUCUGAUAAUGCUGAUGAUACUGAUGCAAGAAGUUGCACUGCAGGAUCUUUGAAUGCUACUCUAGUAAAAGGAAAUGUGGUGCUCUGCUUCCAAACACGAGGACAGCGAGCAUCUCAGGUGGCAGUAGAGACCGUAAAAAAGGCCCGUGGUGUAGGAGUCAUCUUUGCGCAGUUUUUAACCAAAGAUAUAGCAUCUGCUUUUGAUAUUCCCCUUAUUCAAGUAGACUAUCAAGUUGGAACAGCCAUACUUGCAUAUACUACUAGCACGAGAAACCCAACGGUUCAGUUUGGCUCCGCAAAAACAAUUCUUGGAGAAUUGAUAGGCCCUGAAGUUGCAUACUUCUCAUCUAGGGGCCCAAGCUCUCUGACUCCAUCAAUUCUGAAGCCAGACAUAACUGCCCCGGGUGUAAACAUUUUGGCUUCAUGGUCACCUUCCGUAGCCUUAUCAUCGGCCAUGGGAUCUGUGAAUUUCAAGAUUGAUUCUGGAACUUCAAUGUCCUGCCCGCACAUUUCAGGCGUGGCCGCUCUUCUCAAAUCAAUGCAUCCUAAUUGGAGCCCGGCUGCAGUAAAAUCGGCAAUGGUCACAACAGCCAAUGUCCAUGACGAGUAUGAAUUCGAGAUGGUAUCUGAAGCAGCGCCCUACAAGCAGGCGAAUCCCUUCGACUAUGGAGGUGGCCAUGUGGAUCCAAAUAGGGCUGCACACCCUGGUCUCGUAUACGACAUGAGACCAUCUGAUUACGUGCGCUUCCUUUGCUCCAUGGGCUACAACAACUCAGCCAUCGCCUCCAUGGUUCAGCAGCACACACCCUGUCAACAUUCGCCAAAAUCGCAGCUGAACCUGAACGUCCCAUCCAUCACCAUUCCUGAACUGAGGGGCAAGCUGUCGGUGUCGAGAACGGUCACCAAUGUUGGCCCGGUCGCGUCCAAGUACAGAGCCCAUGUGGAAGCACCUCCAGGGGUGAACGUCACCGUGAACCCCUCGCUUCUGACCUUCAACUCGACAGUCAACAGGUUAACAUUCAAGGUGACAUUCCAGGCCAAACUGAAGGUUCAGGGGCGGUACACCUUCGGCAGCCUGACAUGGGAGGACGGCACACACACUGUGAGGAUUCCUUUGGUGGUUCGGACAAUGAUCAAUAGGUUCUAUGUCAAUGCAUGA
rnacentral:rRNA from 1 species